CCUACGGGUGGCAGCAGUAGGGAAUAUUCGACAAUGGAGGCAACUCUGACCCAGCAAUGCCGCGUGAAUGAAGAAGGUCUUCGGCUUGUAAAGUUCUUUAGUCAGGGAAGAAUGAAAUGACGGUAACUGGAGAAUAAGCUCCGGGUAACUACGUGGCAGCAGCCGCGGUAAUACGUAGGGUGCCAGCCUUGUUCGGGAUGACUGGGAGUAAAGGGUGGGUAGGCGGGUAUCCAAGUUAGAAGGUAAAUACCCAGGGCUUAACUCGGGUGGUGCAUCUAAAACGGUAAGACUUGAGUGCAGUAGAGGUCAGUGGAAUGCCAAGUGUAGCGGUGGAAUGCGUAGAUAUAAGGAGGAACACCAGAGGCGAAGGCGGCUAACUGGACUGCAACUGACGCUGAGGCACGAAAGUGUGGGUAGCAAACAGGAUUAGAUACCCCAGUAGUC
rnacentral:rRNA from 1 species